rnacentral:rRNA from 1 species
CUGAUGCAGCCAUGCCGCGUGUGUGAAGAAGGCCUUAGGGUUGUAAAGCACUUCAGUAAGGAGGAAAGGUUAGUAGUUAAUACCUGCUAGCUGUGACGUUACUUACAGAAGAAGCACCGGCUAACUCCGUGCCAGCAGCCGCGGUAAUACGGAGGGUGCGAGCGUUAAUCGGAAUUACUGGGCGUAAAGCGUACGCAGGCGGUUUGUUAAGCGAGAUGUGAAAGCCCCGGGCUCAACCUGGGAACUGCAUUUCGAACUGGCAAACUAGAGUAUGAUAGAGGGUGGUAGAAUUUCAGGUGUAGCGGUGAAAUGCGUAGAUAUCUGAAGGAAUACCGAUGGCGAAGGCAGCCACCUGGGUCAAUACUGACGCUCAUGUACGAAAGCGUGGGGAGCAAACGGGAUUAGAUACCCCGGUAGUCCACGCCGUAAACGAUGUCUACUGCUGGGGUCUUCGGACAACUUUUCCAAAGCUAACGCAUUAAGUAGACCGCCUGGG